GGUGAGUAACAUGUAGGUAUCUACCCUAUGGCCUGGAAUAACACGAGGAAACUUGUGCUAAUACCGGAUAAGUCUUCACGGAGAAAGCUUUAUGCACCAUUGGAUGAGCCUGCACUUGAUUAGUUUGUUGGUGGGGUAAUGGCCUACCAAGACUUUGAUCAAUAGCUGAUUUGAGAGGAUGAUCAGCCACAUUGGGACUGAGACACGGCCCAAACUCCUACGGGAGGCAGCAGUGGGGAAUCUUGCACAAUGGAGGAAACUCUGAUGCAGCGAUACCGCGUGAGUGAAGAAGGCCCUUGGGUUGUAAAGCUCUUUCGUCGGGGAAGAAAAUGACUGUACCCGAAUAAGAAGGUCCGGCUAACUUCGUGCCAGCAGCCGCGGUAAUACGAAGGGACCUAGCGUAGUUCGGAAUUACUGGGCUUAAAGAGUUCGUAGGUGGUUGAAAAAGUUGGUGGUGAAAUCCCAGAGCUUAACUCUGGAACUGCCAUCAAAACUUUUCAGCUAGAGUAUGAUAGAGGAAAGCAGAAUUUCUAGUGUAGAGGUGAAAUUCGUAGAUAUUAGAAAGAAUACCAAUUGCGAAGGCAGCUUUCUGGAUCAUUACUGACACUGAGGAACGAAAGCAUGGGUAGCGAAGAGGAUUAGAUACCCUCGUAGUCCAUGCCGUAAACGAUGUGUGUUAGACGUUGGAAAU
rnacentral:rRNA from 1 species